AUACGGAGGGUGCAAGCGUUAAUCGGAAUCACUGGGCGUAAAGCGCACGUAGGCGGCCCGUUAAGUCAGAUGUGAAACCCCUGGGCUCAACCUGGGAAUGGCAUUUGAUACUAGCGCGCUCGAGUCUGAUAGAGGGGGGUGGAAUUCCAGGUGUAGCGGUGAAAUGCGUAGAUAUCUGGAGGAACACCGGUGGCGAAGGCGGCCCCCUGGAUCAUGACUGACGCUGAGGUGCGAAAGCGUGGGUAGCAAACAGGAUUAGAUACCCUGGUAGUCCACGCCGUAAACGAUGUCGACUAGCCGUUCGGUCCAUUUAAGGAUUGAGUGGCGCAGCCAACGCGAUAAGUCGACCGCCUGGGGAGUACGGCCGCAAGGUUAAA
rnacentral:rRNA from 1 species